UGGGGAAUAUUGCACAAUGGGCGCAAGCCUGAUGCAGCCAUGCCGCGUGUAUGAAGAAGGCCUUCGGGUUGUAAAGUACUUUCAGCGGGGAGGAAGGCGAUAAGGUUAAUAACCUUGUCGAUUGACGUUACCCGCAGAAGAAGCACCGGCUAACUCCGUGCCAGCAGCCGCGGUAAUACGGAGGGUGCAAGCGUUAAUCGGAAUUACUGGGCGUAAAGCGCACGCAGGCGGUCUGUCAAGUCGGAUGUGAAAUCCCCGGGCUCAACCUGGGAACUCCAUUCGAAACUGGCAGGCUAGAGUCUUGUAGAGGGGGGUAGAAUUCCAGGUGUAGCGGUGAAAUGCGUAGAGAUCUGGAGGAAUACCGGUGGCGAAGGCGGCCCCCUGGACAAAGACUGACGCUCAGGUGCGAAAGCGUGGGGAGCAAACA
rnacentral:rRNA from 1 species